rnacentral:rRNA from 2 species
GGGUUGUGAGGUUAAGCGACUAAGCGUACACGGUGGAUGCCCUGGCAGUCAGAGGCGAUGAAGGACGUGCUAAUCUGCGAUAAGCGUCGGUAAGGUGAUAUGAACCGUUAUAACCGGCGAUUUCCGAAUGGGGAAA